UACGGGGGGGGCAAGCGUUGUUCGGAAUUACUGGGCGUAAAGGGCUCGUAGGCGGCCAACUAAGUCCGACGUGAAAUCCCCAGGCUUAACCUGGGAACUGCGUCGGAUACUGGAUGGCUUGAAUUCGGGAGAGGGAUGCAGAAUUCCAGGUGUAGCGGUGAAAUGCGCAGAUAUCAGGAGGAACACCGGUGGCGAAGGCGGAUCUCUGGGCCGAUACUGACGCUGAGGAGCGAAAGCGUGGGGAGCGAACAGG
rnacentral:rRNA from 1 species